UGAUCCAUUAGUGGACGAAAAUGUUGAAGUUGACGAAACGCUGUCGUUAUGUUUAAAAACUUCGCUUCAAAAAGAUAUCAAUAAUUGGGAUGAGGUUAUUGACAAAUGGCAAAAAACAUUUACAUUUCGGAAAAAGGAUUUGGCAAAGCUUUCGAAUUCUGAUUUUUUGCAAGAGUGGCCAAUUUAAAAAGACUCCAGAGCACCAUUUCUGAUUAAUCUAGAUUUCAAUUUGAUUUAUCCAGCAAAAGAUAAUCUUUUAAAAACAAAGUGGGAUAAUUUUAAAACCAAGAUAGUGAACUACUACUAUGCCAACAUACGGAAUCAGCUAUCAAUAGAUCUUUUGAACCAAGCAAAAACGACGAAAAAAAUUGUUCUGCUGCCUUCAGCAAGAUUAAGUGUAGAUGGAAAUACAAAAAAGAAAGCCACCAUUAAAGAUGCUAAUGAAAGCUUCGUUUUGCAGUUAACAACAAUAAUCGCUAAUUGUCAAUACGAAUAAAAGAAAUUAUCGGUAAAUAUUUUUAUAAUAAAUUGACUGUACAGCCGUUUAUAAUUGUGGUAGGAGACUCUGAGGACGAUCUUAAAACCUUUUACAUUUACUUUGACAAAACUUUGUACAAACUAAAUUCUUUUAUUGAAAGUUUGGAUAUAUGCUUUAAAAUCUUUCACGUGUUUAAUCUUAAAUAUCCUAAGAUCUGCGAAA